AGGUAGUAUUUAAACCUAUUUACAAUGGCGGCUUUUCAUCUUACUAGAGGAACUUGUUUAUUAAUUCGACAAUCCACGUUAAUUCUAACUUUAUUUAAAAGCUUAUAUAUCUCCAUAUAAAGAAUUAAUAUAAAAAUUUAUUCUUAAUAAAAAAUAAAAAUUUAGGUCAAGGUGUAGCCUAUCUUUAAGCUAAAAUGAGUUACAUUAAAUACUAUUUAAGGAAUUAAAACUAAAGUUUUAAAGAAAAAGAAUUUAAAAAUAAUAAUCAAAAUAAUAAUUUAUUAUGAAUAAGAUUAUAAAAGUGC
rnacentral:rRNA from 1 species